rnacentral:rRNA from 1 species
AUUGAACGCUGGCGGCAUGCCUUACACAUGCAAGUCGAACGGUAGAGGGGCAACCCUUGAGAGUGGCGAACGGGUGAGUAAUAUAUCGGAACGUGCCCAGUCGUGGGGGAUAACGUAGAGAAAUUUACGCUAAUACCGCAUACGAUCUAUGGAUGAAAGCGGGGGACCGUAAGGCCUCGCGCGAUUGGAGCGGCUGAUAUCAGAUUAGGUUGUUGGUGAGGUAAAAGCUCACCAAGCCGACGAUCUGUAGCUGGUUUGAGAGAACGACCAGCCACACUGGGACUGAGACACGGCCCAGACUCCUACGGGAGGCAGCAGUGGGGAAUUUUGGACAAUGGGCGAAAGCCUGAUCCAGCAAUGCCGCGUGCAGGAAGAAGGCCUUCGGGUUGUAAACUGCUUUUGUACGGAACGAAACGGUCCGCUUUAAUACAGUGGGCUAAUGACGGUACCGUAAGAAUAAGCACCGGCUAACUACGUGCCAGCAGCCGCAGUAAGAC